rnacentral:rRNA from 1 species
UACGUAGGGUGCGAGCGUUAAUCGGAAUUACUGGGCGUAAAGCGUGCGCAGGCGGUUCGUUGUGUCGGCGGUGAAAUCCCCGGGCUCAACCUGGGAAUGGCCGUUGAAACUGGCGAACUAGAGUGUGGCAGAGGGGGGUGGAAUUCCGCGUGUAGCAGUGAAAUGCGUAGAGAUGCGGAGGAACACCGAUGGCGAAGGCAGCCCCCUGGGCUGACACUGACGCUCAGGCACGAAAGCGUGGGGAGCAAACAGG